rnacentral:rRNA from 1 species
GCAAGUCGAGCGAAUGGAUUAAGAGCUUGCUCUUAUGAAGUUAGCGGCGGACGGGUGAGUAACACGUGGGUAACCUGCCCAUAAGACUGGGAUAACUCCGGGAAACCGGGGCUAAUACCGGAUAACAUUUUGAACCGCAUGGUUCGAAAUUGAAAGGCGGCUUCGGCUGUCACUUAUGGAUGGACCCGCGUCGCAUUAGCUAGUUGGUGAGGUAACGGCUCACCAAGGCAACGAUGCGUAGCCGACCUGAGAGGGUGAUCGGCCACACUGGGACUGAGACACGGCCCAGACUCCUACGGGAGGCAGCAGUAGGGAAUCUUCCGCAAUGGACGAAAGUCUGACGGAGCAACGCCGCGUGAGUGAUGAAGGCUUUCGGGUCGUAAAACUCUGUUGUUAGGGAAGAACAAGUGCUAGUUGAAUAAGCUGGCACCUUGACGGUACCUAACCAGAAAGCCACGGCUAACUACGUGCCAGCAGCCGCGGUAAUACGUAGGUGGCAAGCGUUAUCCGGAAUUAUUGGGCGUAAAGCGCGCGCAGGUGGUUUCUUAAGUCUGAUGUGAAAGCCCACGGCUCAACCGUGGAGGGUCAUUGGAAACUGGGAGACUUGAGUGCAGAAGAGGAAAGUGGAAUUCCAUGUGU